GCGACAGAUGCGGUGAAGGGGGGCCAUC
rnacentral:sRNA from 1 species